rfam:Ixodes scapularis strain Wikel colony gcontig_1108379285088, whole genome shotgun sequence.
CCCUGGUUAGCUCAGUUGGUAGAGCGCUCCACUGGAAAUGGAGAGGUCUCUGGUUCGAUGCCAGGGCCAGGCG